UACGUAGGGGGCAAGCGUUGUCCGGAAUUAUUGGGCGUAAAGAGCUCGUAGGCGGCCUGUUGCGUCCGCUGUGAAAGCCCGGGGCUUAACCCCGGGUCGGCAGUGGAUACGGGCAGGCUAGAGGUAGGUAGGGGAGAAUGGAAUUCCCGGUGUAGCGGUGAAAUGGCGCAGAUAUCGGGAGGAACACCGGGUGGCGAAGGCGGUUCUCUGGGCCUUACCUGACGCUGAGGAGCGAAAGCGUGGGGAGCGAACAGG
rnacentral:rRNA from 1 species